rnacentral:rRNA from 1 species
GAAGCCUUUGCAACCCCGAGAGGGGAAACACGCGACUCUAAAGAAGGAUAUGCAAGUGACCAGUAGGUUGCGACACGAUCGAAUUGCGGGGAUCUCCUAAAGCCUCUGGGUACCAACCUCUCGUGGGAACACGGGGGGGGCCGGCACUAAUCACGCCGGGUACGGUAAAAAUCCCAAGGAUUCAGCGCGAGCUGGAAUGGACAAUCCGCAGCGAAGGCCCCAGACCGGGGACACGUUCACAGACUAAGUGGUUGUGGGUGGGAGCCUCCGGGCUCCUGCUUAAGAUAUAGUCGGGCCUGUAGGGAAACCUGCAGGGUAUUCGCGCGCGAAGAACCGCUCCGUAGGUGAACCUGCGGAGGGAUC